CGUACGGGUGAGUAACACGUAUGCAACCUACCAUCAACAGGGGGAUAACACUGAGAAAUUGGUACUAAUACCCCAUAAUAUCUCAUGCGGCAUCGCAUGGGGUUGAAAACUCCGGUGGUUGAUGAUGGGCAUGCGUUGUAUUAGCUGGUUGGUGAGGUAACGGCUCACCAAGGCGACGAUACAUAGGGGGACUGAGAGGUUAACCCCCCACAUUGGUACUGAGACACGGACCAGACUCCUACGGAAGGCAGCAG
rnacentral:rRNA from 1 species